rnacentral:lncRNA from 1 species
CCUGAGACCUCAGUCUUACUUCCAAGCACAUAUAUUCAUAUACUUGAAAGAAGCAAUAUCCAGCAUUUUUUUCAAUGAGGUGCCUUUCCUGAAGGAAAAUAUAAAGAUAUCUGCACAGAGGGUCUUGAGAUGUAUUUGUCAGGGCAACAUGAAUUUCUGUAUUUCCUAAUAUUUAAACAGACAAUUGUGCAAAUUCAGCAUUGAUUUAUCUCAGUUUUUAGUUGACAUUGAGUAUACUUUGCAAUUAUUUACAUGAUGGUGAUCACAGACAUGUAGCAAACAGAUCCAGCCAGUCUUGACCAUCAUCACAAGUAACCUGAGCAUACACAGAUACAUCCAACACAAUCUGGCCAAAUAGUGCACUGAUAUUAGCAGAAAGGAGUUACCCUAUGUCUUUGGUGAAGAGAAAUAGCUUGAAAUCUCUCUUACACGGUAAAAAUGCAUUUUCAUGCCCAAUUUCAUUGCUAGUCUUGUUUUGCUUAUAAUGAGAAGACUUGUGUGGUUUUAUUUUUACUUUCUGCCUCCUUUAUUACUCCUCAGAAACUCAUCCAGCUUUUGGGAGCUGGUGGCCAUGGAGGUGACUGGAGAUGGAAAGCUAAAAGCCUAGAGACUUUCCAGUUAGGGGAAGGUCAGCUGCAUGGUGAAGAGCAAAGAGCCUCUGACUGGGUGAAGUACUCCUGUCAAAACUCAACUUCAUCCAGACGUGCUGUGUCAGGUGUGUUUAAGGAGAAGAAUAUUGAUGGGUAUGAGAGAGCAGCUGGUCCAGCUAUGAGAUGGAAAUCAAUCACUUCAAUCAGUCAGGGGAGGCCCUGUGUCUUUUGGACUCAGGCAAUAUAAGCAGAGGGCUCAGCGUGACGAAGACUUCAAAGAAACAGCCCAGAGUUCACAGAGAGCAAAACUUUAUGCAAGGUCUGGUAAAAUCUCUUGGAGAGCAGCUGAAGAAGACCAGCCCAGAGGAGCAGGCACAGUAACUGCUGGUCAGGAUGGUACUCACUGGCUAAGAGCACAGUGCAAUGCAAAGAGCUUUGUAUCAGAUACUCUGCUGGGAGAACACAGAGUGGUUUAUUAGAGUGACCCACUAUGUGACUGGGAAACCGGGCUGUCCAUAUGCAGGAAUAACUGUGAGUUCAGCUGUC